rnacentral:tRNA from 1 species
GCGCUCGUAGUUCAAUGGAUAGAAUGCAAGGUUGCGGACCUUGAGAUUGCAGGUUCGAGUCCUGCCGAGCGCA